GACGAACGCUGGCGGCGUGCUUAACACAUGCAAGUCGAACGGAAAGGCCCUGCUUUUGUGGGGUGCUCGAGUGGCGAACGGGUGAGUAACACGUGAGUAACCUGCCCUUGACUUUGGGAUAACUUCAGGAAACUGGGGCUAAUACCGGAUAGGAGCUCCUGCUGCAUGGUGGGGGUUGGAAAGUUUCGGCGGUUGGGGAUGGACUCGCGGCUUAUCAGCUUGUUGGUGGGGUAGUGGCUUACCAAGGCUUUGACGGGUAGCCGGCCUGAGAGGGUGACCGGCCACAUUGGGACUAAGAUACGGCCCAGACUCCUACGGGAGGCAGCAGUGGGGAAUAUUGCACAAUGGGCGGAAGCCUGAUGCAGCGACGCCGCGUGCGGGAUGACGGCCUUCGGGUUGUAAACCGCUUUCGCCUGUGACGAAGCGUGAGUGACGGUAAUGGGUAAAGAAGCACCGGCUAACUACGUG
rnacentral:rRNA from 1 species